rnacentral:rRNA from 1 species
AUACGUAGGGAGCGAGCGUUGUCCGGAAUUACUGGGUGUAAAGGGAGCGUAGGCGGGAGUGCAAGUCAGAUGUGAAAUACAUGGGCUCAACCCAUGGGCUGCAUUUGAAACUGAAUUUCUUGAGUGAAGUAGAGGUAAGCGGAAUUCCUGGUGUAGCGGUGAAAUGCGUAGAUAUCAGGAGGAACACCGGUGGCGAAGGCGGCUUACUGGGCUUUUACUGACGCUGAGGCUCGAAAGCGUGGGGAGCAAACAGGAUUAGAUGCCCUGGUAGUCCACGCUGUAAACGAUGAUUACUAGGUGUGGGGGGACUGACCCCUUCCGUGCCGCAGUUAACACAAUAAGUGAUCCACCUGGGGAGUACGGCCGCAAGGUUGAAACUCAAAGGAAUUGACGGGG